rnacentral:lncRNA from 1 species
CCGCCAGUGGCCGCGGGAGAUGACGGACAGCGCGGGGCCGGCGGCCUUUCCGCUGCCUCUCGCGGACGUGCUCAGCACCUGGUCCCUACCACAACAGCAACGCCCGCGUAAUACCUGCCAGGCGACUCCCAAAGAGCCAGGUCCUAUAAAGGAAGUAAAACGUGAACGGGAAUAAUACGGUGACGGCAGCGCACGGAAUAUCGGCGAGUGAAAUACGGAUCUGACGUCUCUGAUAUCGCCUCCGUCAAUGCCGCGCGCUGCCUUACGGUACGGCGCUGAAUGCGACCCACAUGUAUCUCGGCGCUCAGCUAACGUGGCUGUGCGGGUGUGAGAAAGGCCACGCGGGAGAUACUCGGACAUCGAGUCAAUGAAUAAAAUGUUCACACGUGCACAGGAAUAUCGGCAACAGCGCCGAAUCGCCCAGGAAAUAGUAGUUUUCAUUCCCUUCUGUUCCCAAGUGGGCUUUAGGGGCAGCCGCACAGUGCCAGGUGUGAGUGGUUUCUGUGUUAAGGAAGAGAUUUACAUCGAGGACGAGUCAGAGAAUGGGAUUUUAACGGGAGAGAGUCUCGUUUAACAUUUUUUUUCCAGCAGUUACAAGUAAGGGUAACCUUCCCUUACAGCCUUACGAAGUGCUGAGGGCAAACCAAAGUCGGUCCUGGGGUCGCCGUGCCGGUGACGGAGCCCCGGAUCUGAAAGGAAACGAAAGGUGACAGCAGUGAAGGCGCCCCCGUGACAGCGCCGGGAGCACCGCGCUGCCGGACUGGGACGCUGCGGACCCGCGAAACCCCUUCGGGAAUAGAGGGAGCGGGGGAGCCCCGCGAGGGGCUCUCUGCCGGCUGCAGCGCAGGGGACAGACGGCCCCUAUAGCCUCCGACCUACGGACACGGCCCCGCCCCAGUCCAUGGCAGGUCCCCCUGGGUGAAGGCGGUGCGGAUGCCCUCACCGCGCUGCAGCACAGCGAGGGCACGCGGACAGGUGAAAAAAAAACCCGCAGUGGUGCCGACCAGGCGACGAGUCGGCGACCUUUCUGUUGUCCCUAUCGGGGGCUGCCCGACACCCCCUCCAGCCGGCAGAUCCCGCUGGGUCAGGGGUGCAUCCCCCCGGCCCCGGCCCGGCCACCGCCCUGCUCCCGCUCUGUGCUCGGGUGUUCAGAGAGACGCUGGGGGGGUCGGUGGGGGGGGUGGGGGGUGGGGGGCUUAAUGAUGUGUGUGUAACUGGGGCAGGUUUAAUAACUUUGCCGCCACUUGUUCUUAGCAGCCCCUCUGGAAACCAGACAGUGUCUCAUUAGGGCUUUCCUGGUGCAAACAUUUGACUCGAAGGAGCGGUGCGGAGUUAAUUUCUCUUUGCGCUAGGAUUUGUUUAAUGACAUAGAGGGAAACAGACAAUUCUCGUGUACCAGGCCAUAAAGCUACGGAGGGACAGAUUUUAAAAGCAUAUUUUGUUCUAAUCGAGCAAUCGGGUUUUCAUUUGUCACAUGUUACACGAAUUUCGAGUAAAUGAAAAAAACGCCUCUAUUGUUCUGCAUCAAAUUAUAGGAACCAAUUGGGAAUUCCUGGGCAAUUUUCUCCAUCUCUCCUUCGCUUCCACAACACCUCGUACCAGUGCCACCUACAGGAACACUCGCGUUCUCGAGCUUGUUUCAGGUCGGAAAGGAGAAAUACCGACUCCGAGCGCUGGUUUCCUUCGCGGCUUUCACGGAGCGUCUCGCGUAGCACCGCUGUGUAUGCGGACACGCAGCAGCCUGUUGUGCCUGGAGGGUGGACGGGGAUCGGGACGGGGAAGGCGGCAGCUGCCGGCGGAGCCUCUCGCAUCUCACCAUCCCGGAGGAUGCAGAGGGUCGCGCAGAGUGACCGCAGCCUCCCGCCCCACCGGAGCCCCGCGCACCUCCCGGCAGCGCGGGGGCUUUACGAGCGCGGUGUCCCAAAUCAAUGCCCGUCUAUAUGCUGGCUGCUUUUUACGAGAGGCAGCUCCGAGCCAAGUGCCGAUCUGCCUCACUCUCCUGCGCACCUUUGGGGGCUUUACCUUCGCCCGAAGGUUUAUAACGAAUUCCUCAGAAAUUCCAGGGGAAAAAUAACGAUCCCUCCCCUCGAGGCUUCAGCGGAGGAGGCUCCGGCUGCGAGCCGGGCUGCCCUCGUCGCGGCCUCCCGGGGGAUGCCGGGGCCGGGCCGGGCCGCGCUGUCGCAGGUUGUUCCGCCGGGGCGGAGGGGGGCCCUGCUCGGCUCUGUUCCCUAACCUCGUCCUCCGGUUCCAGCGACACUGCAGAUGUUUGUCCUCGAGACUUAGGGCGGUGGCGAUUGAUUCUCAUCGUCUUUAUACGUGCGCCCUUUUCUCUGCCGCCUUUUCCUUUAAAAGUUUUCAGUUCCCGUAUCCAAAAUGCGUAUACGUAUAUCUUCGUACCGUAUGUAUUCAUACUCGUAUAUUCAUAUUCAUCGUCCAUACUGUACAUCCAUUUAUGCAGCGCGUGUUGUUGAUGCCCUCCGGCUCUGGGCAGGAGAUACCACCGAGCGAGCCGAGGUGUGCACGCAGUCGGUACGUAGGUACAAAGCCCGCAGCUCGGUUUUGCUGAUAGGGUGAGAAACGCGAGCAGGUUUGUGGAAGGAAGAAACCCUUAUGACCUACGCUGAAAGAUUUAUGGUCGUUUUCAUAUAACACAGCGUAGAGAAAACUCUAUCGUUACGGCUUUGGGAGUUUAAUUUCGUUGUGAGAAUUAAUAAUCGUAAAUUAAUCAUAAUCAUAAUGUGGACGGCGGCCGAGCUCCCCCUCUCCUUUCCAUCUGCGGGUCUGCAGCAGCUGCGCCCGACGGCUCCCCGAGGUGGGAACAGCUCCGCUCCGCGCCCCCCACGGAGGGCCGGCGGUACGAUUAGCGCAGGGGGCAAUCAGCCAUUCGCGGUGUGAAGUAGCACGGGCAUAAUCGAGAGUAGAGUCCAUCUCGGUUGCCGUUUUCUAGCGAAGUAAAACAAAAUUCUCGUCCCGCGGCUUGAAGUUCGGGCUCUGGCACCGCGAUGCGUGUGCGCAGCGUGUUCGGAGCUGCAACCGCGUCCCAGCCCAGUGCCGGCCGCAGCCCCGGGGGGCGAUGUCGCUGCCGAACCGCGGACCCCGCACUCGCCCAGGCCGUGACCGGGUUUCGCAGCGGCCCGACCCGAUUUCGUUUGCAAAAUAUUUUUUUCCCCUGCAGUUGUAAUGUAAUAACGGAGAGUCUAAAAGCCACCCCAUGCGUUUGCAGCGUCCCUACUUGUGAUGCAAAGUAGUGCUUUAACUACAUGUAUUUGAGAGACAAAAAAGGUUAUUUCAAAGGGAGAACCCAGUGCUUUGCUGCAGCCUUCUCUCCCUGCCCUACACAAUUGGUGUCCUUUUGUGCGGGCUGCAGGCGCGGCACGUCCCGUGGGGUGUCCGGGACGCGGAUGGGCCGGGGUGCGGCGGCGGAGCCUGGGGAAAGCCGAGGGGAUCGUCUGCUUCGGUCUGCCGCCCGCGGGCUGCGAGAAGGGGCAGCCUUGGCCCAGCGCAAGGAGUUCUGCCUGGGCUGUCAGCGGCUCAGAAACGGCUGUUAAGCGCGUCCCCUCCUAACGGGUGCCAAAAAGGCAGCGCGAACAACACGGCCGAGCCGGGGCCCGGGGCCAGGUGAGGGGCGUCUUGGCUUCCCCCACCGCGCUGUGAGGUUGGAGCCUCCCAGAGCAUCCAUUUUCCACAGGCCGGGCGCUGAUGCUUGAGCCCAGGAACCACUGAUGGGACCCCCUUCCGCGGCCCCUUGUGUCCUCGGAGGGAGGCGUACAGCACCGUGCUGGGCACUCGGGCGUCGGCUCGGCCCUGUAUUAGAGAUUUUCAGCCAUUAGGAACAUCGAUCUGGCCGCUUUCGUUCGUUGCCGUAAAUCGUAGAUACCCGUGUGAUGCUUGCCCCGUCCCAUCGCCAUGUAGUCCCAUAGACAACCUCUGCACGUCAGGCCAGAAGGCACGUAGCAUCUCUUCGUUUCAGUGCAGACACCCUCCACUUACAAUAGGAACAGUAGGUGAAAUGUCACUUAGAAAAGAGCAGGAAGUGCCAUCCCGUUGUUCUUCACAUUUUUCGUGUGCACGAGGAGUUUGUUGCUUGUUCUUUGUGUGCCUACGAUGUGGGAUGAAGACGAGGGCUGCCAUUGCAUUUGAAUAAAGUGCCCCUCUUACCCCACUGUAUUUAACCCUUAAACUCCAGGAGUAGGUUGUGACCAUUAAAAGAAAAACAACAACAACAACAAUAAUUACUCUAUUAUAAAUCCCACUCCUGACAAAUACGGGCGUGAGAGCAAAUAACUACGAGGUUCUGAACAGGAAGGUCGUUCAGAAGUAUCGAAUCACCAUAGGUAACAACAGCCUUGAAUUGUGGAUGUAUUGUUCUUGUAAAUUAACAACCAUCAGAUGUUUGGAGGGCUGCGGGUUGUCAGAAGAUACAAAAUAUUAUCGGGAUCGGCUUUUUCUAUAAUUUUGCCUACAACUUUCUUAAAAACUUCGGGUGGUUCCUACAAAAAAUGCUUUAAAACCACUGAAUUUCUUACCUCCCCUUCCUAUUACUGCACUUAGGCGCAACAAAAUGUAGUUUCUCAUUUACAACCAAAUGUGCCCACACUGCUCAGGGAAGCGAUGUAAAAGAGGUGAUAUUACACUGGAAAUUUGGUGCGGGUUUGGCCAAUAAAGAUGAACGUUGACUUGACUUUCACAAAUGCCUUUUUUAACAGACAGCUGCAAUGCUGUCUACAGUGCUGUCUACUACGUGAUCUGUAUUUUCGUAGGUGAACAGACGUGCACUGAAAUUGUUCUGCUUUAGAUACAGACCUACACUGUGCACGCAUACGAGCGAUAUCCGAGGGCUUGUUGGACUACGGGAAGGUUUGGGGCAGACGGGGUGCCCCGGGUCUGUGGCAGCGCGGAAAGGAACGUGCAUGGGGUACAGCUGCGGGGGGUUCGGUGCCCACAGCCCCGCGACGGUGAUCGGAUGGAGAAUGCACGAAGCGAGCGGGUGAGGAGGUCCGGCUCCUGCGCUCACGCUCCCGAUUGUGUGCUUGCAAACAGCUCUGCUGCUUCUUGCUCGAUUGUUUUUGCCUUGGUGUGGUUUGGGACUCCCGAAAUAAGCCGCUAAUGACACCUCUAAAGACUGCGGCGUCAGAAGCAAAUGCAGCAAACGCAGCCGCUUCUGCCUAGCUGUUAUUCAUCUCUCCGUGCGUAUUUGAGCCCGACGGGGAGGGGGUGAGGAGAGACACCACAGCGGUCCUUUCAGGGCGACAGCGAAGCGAUUUUUCUUGAGAGUGCCUUUCUUUUUCCCCGCAGAGCCCCGCAGCCCUCGCUCCGGUGGGAGUUCCCUCCCUGCCCUCUGGUGCGGGUGCAGCUCCCGCCGUGCCGGUUUGCAGAGGUGUGUGUGCUGGGGGUUAUGCGCCGUUCCUGCGCAAUUCCCAUACGUCGCACGGCAGCAAAGGGAUCCGCAUUGCGUGAGCCCCGGGAACACCUGGCGCGAGUGAUACAAUGGCUCUGCCCGCGGUCUUCGUGCUGCUCACAUUGCCGGGAGGGGAGGCAAAAGGGCUCCCGUAUCUUUGUUUUUUCAGGGAAGAGGAGACUUAUCUGCUCCUAUGCUUGUUCUCUUGCCAGGUUGAUCUUAAGAACUAUUAAGCGAUUUGGAGCAGCUCACGCCUCAUCCUGCUCACUGAGAGUGAAACGCACCAUCUGUGCAGUUGGCAAUGGGGGGGCCCAGGAGGCUCGGGGUGGGCCCUGGUACCGUCCCGGAGGGCAGAUGUGCCCCCAGCUGUGGUGGCUGUUUGUUCUCAAGCCCUGGGAAAGCACCACCAUGGGAGAAGGAAACAGAAGAGUAAUGAAAGGUGCCUGUCUCAGCAUUGAGUUACAGCCAAACUGCUAACCACAGGCCUCUAUUUACAAAAAGUGAUUUAAAAUUUUAAUAACAGGUCACCUCCUGCCUUGCAAGGCACUUCUGAGCUGAAGAGGGCUCUUCCCAGGGAGAGCAGAGGAUAGAGAAUACAUAGGGGUGUGUGCACAGGGGCAGGUGGGGUAGAGGUGAAGGAA